GACUUGACAUCUCCUGAAUUACUCUUAAUCGAGGAAGUCCCUUCGGGGACAGGAAGACAGGUGGUGCAUGGUUGUCGUCAGCUCGUGUCGUGAGAUGUUGGGUUAAGUCCCGCAACGAGCGCAACCCUUAUUGUUAGUUGCUACUAUUAAGUUAAGCACUCUAACGAGACUGCCGCGGUUAACGUGGAGGAAGGUGGGGAUGACGUCAAAUCAUCAUGCCCCUUAUGUCUAGGGCUACACACGUGCUACAAUGGCUGGUACAACGAGCAGCAAACCCGCGAGGGGGAGCAAAACUUGAAAGCCAGUCCCAGUUCGGAUUGUAGGCUGAAACUCGCCUACAUGAAGUUGGAGUUGCUAGUAAUCGCGAAUCAGCAUGUCGCGGUGAAUACGUUCCCGGGUCUUGUACACACCGCCCGUCACACCAUGAGAGCCGGUAACACCCGAAGCCCGUGAGGUAACCGUAAGGAGCCAGCGGUCGAAGGUGGGAUUGGGGAUUGGGGUGAAGUCGUAACAAGGUAGCCGUAGGAGAACCUGCGGCUGGAUCACCUCCUUUCUAGGGA
rnacentral:rRNA from 1 species